UACGUAGGGUGCAAGCGUUAUCCGGAAUCACUGGGCGUAAAGCGUGCGUAGGUGGCGCAUUAAGUGAGAUGUUAAAUCGUGUGGCUCAACCAUAUCGAUGCGUCUCAUACUGGUGUGCUGGAGUACUGCAGGGGAGACUGGAAUUCCUGGUGUAGCGGUGGAAUGCGCAGAUAUCAGGAGGAACACCGGUGGCGAAGGCGGGUCUCUGGGCAGUAACUGACGCUGAGGAGCGAAAGCGUGGGGAGCGAACAGG
rnacentral:rRNA from 1 species